CCUACGGGAGGCAGCAGUGGGGAAUAUUGCACAAUGGGCGCAAGCCUGAUGCAGCCAUGCCGCGUGUGUGAAGAAGGCCUUCGGGUUGUAAAGCACUUUCAGCGGGGAGGAAGGCGGUGAGGUUAAUAACCUCAUCGAUUGACGUUACCCGCAGAAGAAGCACCGGCUAACUCCGUGCCAGCAGCCGCGGUAAUACGGAGGGUGCAAGCGCUAAUCGGAAUUACUGGGCGUAAAGCGCACGCAGGCGGUCUGUCAAGUCGGAUGUGAAAUCCCCGGGCUCAACCGGGGAACUGCAUUCGAAACUGGGAGGCUAGAGUCUUGUAGAGGGGGGUAGAAUUCCAGGUGUAGCGGUGAAAUGCGUAGAGAUCGGGAGGAACACCGGUGGCGAAGGCGGCCCCCUGGACAAAGACUGACGCUCAGGUGCGAAAGCGUGGGGAGCAAACAGGAUUAGAUACCCGUGUAGUC
rnacentral:rRNA from 1 species